UGGGGAAUAUUGGACAAUGGGCGAAAGCCUGAUCCAGCCAUGCCGCGUGUGUGAAGAAGGUCUUCGGAUUGUAAAGCACUUUAAGUUGGGAGGAAGGGUUGUAGAUUAAUACUCUGCAAUUUUGACGUUACCGACAGAAUAAGCACCGGCUAACUUCGUGCCAGCAGCCGCGGUAAUACGAAGGGUGCAAGCGUUAAUCGGAAUUACUGGGCGUAAAGCGCGCGUAGGUGGUUCGUUAAGUUGGAUGUGAAAGCCCCGGGCUCAACCCGGGAACUGCAUCCAAAACUGGCGAGCUAGAGUACGGUAGAGGGUGGUGGAAUUUCCUGUGUAGCGGUGAAAUGCGUAGAUAUAGGAAGGAACACCAGUGGCGAAGGCGACCACCUGGACUGAUACUGACACUGAGGUGCGAAAGCGUGGGGAGCAAACAG
rnacentral:rRNA from 1 species